rnacentral:rRNA from 1 species
UAGGGAAUCUUCCACAAUGGACGCAAGUCUGAUGGAGCAACGCCGCGUGAAAGUGAAGAAGGCUUUCGGGUCGUAAAACUCUGUUAUUGAAGAAGAACGUGCGUGACAGUAACUGGUCAUGCAGUGACGGUAUUCAAUCAGAAAGUCACGGCUAACUACGUGCCAGCAGCCGCGGUAAUACGUAGGUGGCAAGCGUUGUCCGGAUUUAUUGGGCGUAAAGCGAGUGCAGGCGGUCUUUUAAGUCUGAUGUGAAAGCCUUCGGCUUAACCGAAGAAGGGCAUCGGAAACUGGGAGACUUGAGUGCAGAAGGAGGAGAGUGGAACUCCAUGUGUAGCAGGUGAAAUGCGUAGAUAUAUGGAAGAACACCAGUGGCGAAGGCGGCUC